AUCCUUUUGUAGUUCAUAAGAGUGAUGACUGGGUUUGUACAUUUAUAUGUGAGAUGUGCCUCCUUCAAACCUUGUUACGUACAUCAGCAUAUUACUUAUCUGACA